rnacentral:rRNA from 1 species
UACGUAGGGAGCGAGCGUUGUCCGGAAUUACUGGGUGUAAAGGGAGCGUAGGCGGGCGAGAAAGUUGAAUGUUAAAUCUACCGGCUUAACUGGUAGCUGCGUUCAAAACUUCUUGUCUUGAGUGAAGUAGAGGCAGGCGGAAUUCCUAGUGUAGCGGUGAAAUGCGUAGAUAUUAGGAGGAACACCAGUGGCGAAGGCGGCCUGCUGGGCUUUAACUGACGCUGAGGCUCGAAAGCGUGGGGAGCAAAUAGG